rnacentral:lncRNA from 1 species
UGACUUCUGCUUGAUUUUCUAAACUUCAGCCUUUGAGCUUUUGAAUUCAGAUGAGGAUUCCUUAACAAAGCCUAAACCAGACAUGGUUCCUGAUUUCUGUCCCACCUUUAGAAUUUCUUCCAAAGUGUCCGUUCCUGUAUUCAGCAUUCUGAUGGAUUUUGUCAUUUGAUCUAGCUUAGAGGUCAGCAAGGUUAUCUCACCAUUUAGAUCAUCUAUGACUGU